GAUGAACGCUGGCGGCGUGCCUAAUACAUGCAAGUCGAGCGAACAGACGAGGAGCUUGCUCCUCUGACGUUAGCGGCGGACGCGUGAGUAACACGUGGAUAACCUACCUAUAAGACUGGGAUAACUUCGGGAAACCGGAGCUAAUACCGGAUAAUAUAUUGAACCGCAUGGUUCAAUAGUGAAAGACGGUUUUGCUGUCACUUAUAGAUGGAUCCGCGCCGCAUUAGCUAGUUGGUAAGGUAACGGCUUACCAAGGCAACGAUGCGUAGCCGACCUGAGAGGGUGAUCGGCCACACUGGAACUGAGACACGGUCCAGACUCCUACGGGAGGCAGCAGUAGGGAAUCUUCCGCAAUGGGCGAAAGCUUGACGGAGCAACGCCGCGUGAGUGAUGAAGGUCUUCGGAUCGUAAAACUCUGUUAUUAGGGAAGAACAAAUGUGUAAGUAACUAUGCACGUCUUGACGGUACCUAAUCAGAAAGCCACGGCUAACUACGUG
rnacentral:rRNA from 1 species